rnacentral:rRNA from 1 species
AUGGAACAACGAGACCUCCGUCGUUCCGCGGCCGCCGCCGCGCCUUACUAUCCAAUCAAGAAAGAGACUCUUUGUUUCUCAAAAAGAAAGAAAGAUCACCAUCAUCAAGUCAGCGGCGGCAUAACGGCGUCUAUCGCCGACGACGUGCUCGCCUACAUCUUCACCCGGUUGCCGGACAUGGCCACCGUUGUCCGCUGCGCCGCCACGUGCCGGCGCUGGGGCCACCUCGUGGCCACCAGAGCAGCGGUCAUCUCCCCCUGCAUGCCGCCCCUCAGCCGCUUCUUCCCCAACCUUGCCGUGGGUCUCUUCCACCAGGAGAAAGACUGGCCCACUACACGCACAAGGGACGAGCCAUCGCCGCGGCCGUGUUUUAUCGCAACGGCCUCAGGCACACGUUUCAUCCGUGGUGAUGGCCAGAGCUCUUUAGCUAAAUUGGUACUAGAUGGAGGCGACCGGCUUCUGGACCACUCCCGUCCCAUUGCAUCCCGGAAUGGCCGCCUCGUUCUCGAGCUCCGGCACAACCGCCGCCAGGAUUGUGCAUCUGAUGGUCUCCGGCUCGCCAUCUGCAACCCGAUGAUGCUUGACAAGAUCGAUGUCAUCCCGCCUUUGGUCUUAGUAGGCAAGAACGCUACAAAUAUACUGGACUACGGCUGCGCAUUGCUCACCGGCCACGACCUCAACCCUCCGUGCCACCAAGAUUUUUUCCACAUUCUGCUCAUCUACAACCACAAUCGUCCUAGCGGGCAGUCCACGGUGCUCCGAUGCUACUCCUCGGAUACGAGGCGCUGGGGACCAGAGACUGAAUCCAUUGUCAAGAUCUAG